rnacentral:rRNA from 1 species
UACGUAGGUGACAAGCGUUAUCCGGAAUUACUGGGCGUAAAGCGCACGCAGGCGGCUGCGUAAGUCUGACGUGAAAUCUCUCGGCCUAACCGGGAGCGGUCGUUGGAAACUAUGCGGCUUGAGGCGAUGAGAGGGGUGUGGAAUUCCCGGUGUAGUGGUGGAAUGCGUAGAUAUCGGGAGGAACAUCAGUGGCGAAAGCGGCACCCUGGCAUUAGCCUGACGCUCAGGUGCGAAAGCGUGGGGAGCGAACGGG